rnacentral:lncRNA from 1 species
UUCUUCUGGGUGAUUAACUUGAUUAAUAUCAAGGUUAAUGUCUUUUAAUUUUUCACACUAGAAUAACCAUUAGUAACUCCUAUUGUUCUUUAAAGACUUUGUUAUCAUCAAAACCUUUUAAGAGUUUGAACAAAUAUUGUUCUAACAAUCUCCCCCUUUUUUAUGAUGACAAACAAAUGUAUUUAAGAAUAAUGGUUAAUGAUUUAAC